rnacentral:lncRNA from 1 species
UAACUAAAAGGAUCUGGAGAACGAGCGGUUUUAAAUGAAGUAGCUUAGCACACAGUAGGAGAAGUUUGAAAUGUGAUUAAUGGAAAUCUAGCAUACACGUGCCAUAGGCAAAUAAGCAAGACUGGAAUUAAAAUGUCUUUACAGCUACAUUCCCAUCCUUAAAUGAAGUGAGCUUUUGGAGGAGGGAGACUGGCUUAAAUACCUUGAAUAAACAGCUCCAAUACAUCUUGAAACCUUUGGAUUCAACAGGAAAAGGCUUUCCGUACUUAAGCGUGGAUCUGCUCUGAAGAAUAGGAAAUGUGGCAAGUAGAUGCAUCUUUCAAAGUACCCUGAAGAUGGAGAGGGGCCUUAUCUGUUCAUUUAGAGUCCUGUGCGGUAACCAUUGGCCUAUUCCUCAGAAGUCUGUAGUUCCAGAUUUCUCAAGCCAACGUGUGCAUGAGAGUAAAUUUAAGAUGCAGAUGACAACUCUUCUCCCUUGCACUACCUGUCUCAAGAGCAGUAGGGAGGAUAAGCCAGUAUUCAGCACAAAUGCUACCCUUCUAGAGGACGACUUGAAGGUAGGAGUGUCCUUGCUGUCCUCUUCUUCUGCUGGACAUUAG